AUUGAACGCUGGCGGCAGGCCUAACACAUGCAAGUCGAACGAGUGGCGGACGGGUGAGGAAUACAUCGGAAUCUACUCUGUCGUGGGGGAUAACGUAGGGAAACUUACGCUAAUACCGCAUACGAUUGAAUGAGCCGCUGUCGGAUUAGCUAGUUGGCGGGGUAAAGGCACACCAAGGCGAAGAUCCGUAGCUGGUCUGAGAGGAUGAUCAGCCACACUGGAACGGAGACACGGUCCAGACUCCUACGGGAGGCAGCAGUGGGGAAUAUUGGACAAUGGGCGCAAGCCUGAUCCAGCCAUACCGCGUGGGUGAAGAAGGCCUUCGGGUUGUAAAGUACUUUCAGCGGGGAGGCGUUACCCGCAGAAGAAGCACCGGCGAACUCCGUGCCAGCAGCCGCGGUAAUUC
rnacentral:rRNA from 1 species